AUUAAGGCCGCAAGAUUUAGUAAGAAAGCCCCGCGGGAGAUGCUAUGUUUGCGGGAAAAGUAACCAUUUUGCACGCGAAUGUCGCCCGCGCAAUUUUAAGUUCAGGGCUCCAUCUACUGUUGAUAAUAGAUAUUGCAGGACUCAACCCCAUGUGGCGGAUCAAGAUGGCGCGGAUCAGCCUGCCUUCUUGCUGUCAUUUCCUCCUAGCGGGAGGACAAAAAACUUCCAGUCGGCCCCUCCCCGGGCCGAGCAACAAUAUGGGGAAUUCGAGGAGAGGUCGCACAGUGUGACGUCACUGGCACCGACCAGGACAGCCCGCGAUUUUUACCGGAAUGUAGAUCGCAGACAGUUUUCUUAGGACCUUCAACGACAGUUGAAUUGAAUCCUGAAUCAGGGCCAAAACAAAUCUCUACUGGGAUUUUCAGGCUGCUUCCUGAUAAUACUAUAGGUUUAAUUUUGGGACGUAAUAAUUUAAAGGGAGACAUUGAGGUGAUACCUGGUGUGAUAGAUUCAAAUUUUAAAGGACAAUUAAAUGUU
rnacentral:lncRNA from 1 species